rnacentral:tmRNA from 9 species
GGGGCUGAUUCUGGAUUCGACGGGAUUUGCGAAACCCAAGGUGCAUGCCGAGGGGCGGUUGGCCUCGUAAAAAGCCGCAAAAAAAUAGUCGCAAACGACGAAAACUACGCUUUAGCAGCUUAAUAACCUGCUUAGAGCCCUCUCUCCCUAGCCUCCGCUCUUAGGACGGGGAUCAAGAGAGGUCAAACCCAAAAGAGAUCGCGCGGAUGCCCUGCCUGGGGUUGAAGCGUUAAAACGAAUCAGGCUAGUCUGGUAGUGGCGUGUCCGUCCGCAGGUGCCAGGCGAAUGUAAAGACUGACUAAGCAUGUAGUACCGAGGAUGUAGGAAUUUCGGACGCGGGUUCAACU